GAGGCUAUGGCGUAAUGGCAACGCGACGGAUUGUGGUUCCGUUUUAUGUGGGUUCGAUUCCCACUAGUCUCCCCA
rnacentral:tRNA from 2 species